rnacentral:misc_RNA from 1 species
CACUCAAGCCUCGCUUGGUAUUGGGGGAUUUGCGGCUGUAACAAGUCUCGCACCCCUUGAAUUCUUCCGGCUGGUGUUUAUUCUUACCCUUUGCGUUGUGGAAACAUAUCUCGCUUGUGGGUUCGGUGAACGUCUUUGGCCGUAAAACUUCUAUUUCAAAGGUUGACCUCGGAUCAGGUAGGGAUACCCGCUGAACUUAA